GGACCGCAAGGCCUUCCUGCUAUAGGAGCGGCCGAUGUCUGAUAGCUAGUUGGUGGGGUAAAGGCCCACCANGGCGACGAUCAGUAGCUGGUCUGAGAGGACGAUCAGCCACACUGGGANUGAGACACGGCCCAGACUCCUACGGGAGGCAGCAGUGGGGAAUUUNGGACAAUGGGCGAAAGCUGAUCCAGCAAUGCCGCGUGUGUGAAGAAGGCCUUCGGGUUGUAAAGCACUUUUGUCCGGAAAGAAAUGGCUCUGGUUAAUACCUGGGGUCGAUGACGGUACCGGAAGAAUAAGGACCGGCUAACUACGUGCCAGCAGCCGCGGUAAUACGUAGGGUCCAAGCGUUUAUCGGAAUUACUGGGCGUAAAGCGUGCGCAGGCGGUUGUGCAAGACCGAUGUGAAAUCCCCGAGCUUAACUUGGGAAUUGCAUUGGUGACUGCACGGCUAGAGUGUGUCAGAGGGGGGUAGAAUUCCACGUGUAGCAGUGAAAUGCGUAGAGAUGUGGAGGAAUACCGAUGGCGAAGGCAGCCCCCUGGGAUAACACUGACGCUCAUGCACGAAAGCGUGGGGAGCAAACAGGAUUAGAUACCCUGGUAGUCCACGCCCUAAACGAUGUCAACUAGUUGUUGGGGAUUCAUUUCCUUAGUAACGUAGCUAACGCGUGAAGUUGACCGCCUGGGGAGUACGGUCGCAAGAUUAAAACUCAAAGGAAUUGACGGGGACCCGCACAAGCGGUGGAUGAUGUGGAUUAAUUCGAUGCAACGCGAAAAACCUUACCUACCCUUGACAUGCCACUAACGAAGCAGAGAUGCAUUAGGUGCUCGAAAGAGAAAGUGGACACA
rnacentral:rRNA from 1 species